UGUGGGAGCGGGCUUGCUCGCGAUUCAGUCGCUGCGGUCUAUCAGGCAAACCGCGCUGCUGCCAUCGCGAGCAAGCCCGCUCCCACA
rnacentral:misc_RNA from 1 species